UUGCCAUGUCAGCAGCACAGGUACCAAAAUUGGAAUGAUACAGAGAAGUUCAGCAUGGGUCCUGCACAGAAAUUCAUGGAGUGUUCCAUAUUUUU